GUCUGGAUAGCUCGGUGAUUUAGAGCACUUAUCCGGAAAAUGAAAGAUUCGGGUUCGAUUCCACGUCUAGAUA
rnacentral:tRNA from 1 species